AGACCACACACCCGCUCUUUUCUUCUUUUUCUUCUUCUUCUUAUUAUUAUUCUCAUUAGUAGUAUUGUUAUUAUUCUCACUAUCAGUAUUAUUAUUAUAAACAGGAUGCGAAUGUA
rnacentral:ribozyme from 12 species